rnacentral:lncRNA from 1 species
UCUUAAUAUUUUUAUUAUCUCUCUUCAGGCAAUUACAGGAGAUUUUUAAACAACUGUCCUUUGUGUUGCCUGACUACGUUUGUGGCAGCAAGUGAAAAGAGAUCUUUUUUUUUUUUUUAACAUUUAAAUAUCAUCUGUGUCACAAGCAAACCUUUCUGUAUAUUAAGGACAGAAAUCGGAAGCUGUCUCCAUUGUCUUCUAAACACCGUAAUUAGAAGCUGAAAAGCUUACAGCAACCAAACCCAAUAAGGUCUCAUUAUGAACAAAAUAUUCUACCGUGGCUCAACAAGUGACCCAAUGUAUUCCAACAAGAUGAAGCCUUCAGCCUUCCUGCCCAAUUAUGGCUUCAGAGAGAAGAGUGGAAAAGAAAACCCGUCUGCUGGAAAGGGUUCAGAGUCCCUCGGAUGGGUGGAGUGGUGUUUUGUAAAUGAGUUGAAUGAGAGAAUCAGUGAGAAGAAAGCUAGAAUAAUUACACAGAUUGACUAAAGAAAAAAGGGGAGGGGAUGAUUUUAGGACCAAAGAAAUUCUUUUCCCCAUCAGAUCACUGACUUCUCCAUUUGGAUGCGUAGUGUCUUUUUCCCUUGGACUCAUCUUCUUGAAGUCUGUGCAAAUGCAAAGUCCUAAGAGAGGCAGGAUAUUAGGGUGG